GCGAAAGUGGCGGAACGGCAGACGCGCGAGACUUAGGAUCUCGUGGGCUUGGCCCGUGGGGGUUCGAGUCCCCCCUUUCGCACCA
rnacentral:tRNA from 1 species